rnacentral:tmRNA from 2 species
CCCCUUUCAUCGCGCCGCGAAAGCCCCUAUAUUGGGCCUGUCGGUCGCACCGACUAUGGUGAUAAACGCCUUGUGGAAUAAGCGUUGUGGACCCGGGGGCGGUACCCGGCGCCUCCACCAACCUCCCGCCGGCCGGGCUUCGCGCCAGUCAGCGGGUCGAUGGGGGCGAAACAGGAUCGACACGCGUGGUAAAGGCAAGGUCUUCGCCCGGCAUGGUUCCGCCGUUAUCGGGCCAUUGCAAUAGUUGCCAAUGACAACGUUGCUCCGGUUGCUGUCGCUGCGUAAGCAGCGCUGGUGAUCGAAACCAAAUCCCUUCAGGGUAGCACUUGAAGGUGGGGUUCGUGGGCCGCCCAGCAACAGAAGGCCCACACU